rnacentral:lncRNA from 1 species
GACCCAAGAAAAGAACUGGAACAUUUUGCUCCGUGUACAGCAACUUCAAAGUUGCUCUAUCCUGCCCACAGUCUGCACUGAUACAUUUGAGAGUUAUGGCUCCAACUGGAUAUGCAAUAGAGGAUUGCCUAUUGGGAAUCACUUGGAGGGGAGCAUUCUUGAGAACAGUUUAUGGGAGAAGUGGUCACCUGUUUCAAGCUCCUGACACCUUGACUUCCUGGCUUUAUGGUCUGUGCCCUUCAAUUGUGAACCAUAAGUCCUUUCUCCCGAGAAGUUCACUUUCCCCACGCUCGACUUCUGCCUGAUGGACCAACACUAGAUCUCCACAUCAGUUGGGCAUCAUUAUAUGAGCCUAGUAUGGCUGUCCUCUGAGAGGCUCCGUCCAUCUUGGAGCUCAGGGUGUCUUCUGGAAGAGUUGAAGGGAGGAUUGAGAGACCCAGCGAGGAUAGAAACUACAUAAGAAGACCAAAAGAGUCAACUAACCUUAACACUGGGGAAUCUCAGAGACUGAACUACCGGUCAAAGAGCAAGCCUGCCUGGGAACUUGUUCCCACCACCCACCACAUAGCAGAUGUGCAACUUGGUCUUCAUGCAGGUUCCCCAACAACUGUACCAGGGGCUGUCCCUAACUGUUGCUUGCCUGUGCAUCCUGUUCCCCUAACUGGGCCACCUAGUCUGGCCUCAGUGGAAGAGGACACAUGAAGUGGCUACAUGUGGGUAGACUGGGAGAAGGGUGCAGGUUUCAAUCAGUGUGUAAAGUGAAAAACUAAUGAACAUUAAUAAAUAAACUAUGGUAUUUUAAAG